GGAGGGUCCAAGCGUUAUCCGGAAUUAUUGGGGUUUAAAGGGUCCGUAGGCGGGAAAUUAAGUCAGUGGUGAAAUCCUACAGCUCAACUGUGGGAACUGCCAUUGAUACUGGUUUUCUUGAAUGUAGAUGAAGUGGGCGGAAUGUGUCAUGUAGCGGUGAAAUGCUUAGAGAUGACACAGAACACCGAUUGCGAAGGCAGCUCACUAACCUAUUAUUGACGCUGAGGGACGAAAGCGUGGGUAGCGAACAGGAUUAGAUACCCUGGUAGUCCACGCCAUAAACGAUGAUUACUCGACAUUGGCGAUAAACUGUCAGUGUCCAAGCGAAAGUGUUAAGUAAUCCACCUGGGGAGUACGAUCGCAAGGUUG
rnacentral:rRNA from 1 species